CCUACGGGAGGCAGCAGUGGGGAAUUUUGGACAAUGGGCGCAAGCCUGAUCCAGCCAUGCCGCGUGCGGGAAGAAGGCCUUCGGGUUGUAAACCGCUUUUGUCAGGGAAGAAACGGUUUGGGCUAAUACCCCGAACUAAUGACGGUACCUGAAGAAUAAGCACCGGCUAACUACGUGCCAGCAGCCGCGGUAAU
rnacentral:rRNA from 1 species